AGUUCUCAACUCUGAGAGCAUUUGUUUGCUCUCUGAGAUUGGAAUUGGAGGUUUGCUGGCGGUGGUCAGCUCCUCUCAAAUGCAUUAGCUGGGCUGUGCUCGAGAGAAAACAGUCGGUGUGAUAAUUAUCUGCGCCGUCGCUGAGUAUCUCGGAUCCCGCUUCUAAUCGUCCUCUGGACAAAACACUCUGAC
rnacentral:misc_RNA from 1 species